rnacentral:misc_RNA from 1 species
UCUGGAACCACUCCUACAUCAAGCGAUGAAGAAGAAACGCUAUGGCUAAGAGACUGAGAUGGGUAGUUGAAAGAAGAGAGCUUUGAUCUACAUAAAUCGACGUCGUAGCAGAUUUCCUUGUUGAAGACUGGAAUUGGAGCCGGUUUGGUUUGUACAGGUACUACGCUAUCUGUAGCACCGCUAUGGCUCUUAUGAAACUCCAUAUCAAGAAACGGAUCCAUUUCAGGGGAAAAAAGAUCUCCGGCGGCCUUCAUUUCAGGAUUUUCGAAGCAUAAUUUCGAAUUCAGGUCAGGAGGAUUCGGCAACAGCCAAGAAACACCCUCCAUAUCAUCAUCUUGCUGGUGGUAUCCACCAUUUUGAUCACUGGGCACUAGAAAAUUAAACGGUGAAGAUUUAACAAUCGAUUCAGCUGAGUCGAAGAAAGGCUCGACGGGGACUCGUUCGUGACGACGAGCAAGAGGGUUAGCCGAGUGAAUAUCUGCAUCGCAGAUGAUGCAGAGAGCGGCAGCGUCAGCCUUACAAGAAAUGGCGGCUGGUGCUUGCUCGCAAACUUCGCACAUCCACACACGCUCGUGUCUAGACACGAGCUUAUUCGCGGCGUGGAUCUUGGUGUCGCAGUUGAGACAAAGGAAAGCGGAGUCAGCUCGGCAAAACGCAGCAGCAGCUGCCGGUUUGCAGUAGUCGCAACGCC